ACUCAAGAAUGAAAAGAUGAUGAAAUCCAGAAAAUUCUGUAUGUUCAUCAAAUAGCAUCUUCUAAAACGCCAAUCAAGCAUCUUAUCC